rnacentral:lncRNA from 1 species
AGGAGAGCUGGUACGGGUCCUCGUAUGCUCAUAUGGUCUUCAGCAGUGAUCCAAAGGGCCUUUUUAACACAUGGAUAGCUGGUAGCUUUAUGUCUCUGAGAAGCCUUGACCAGUAGGUUUGAUUUGGUUAUGUGAUUUGUACUAGGUAUGGGAGGCGAAUUCAGGCUGGACUGAGCUCUGAGCAACUUAUCAAGCUGUAGGUGUCUCUGUUCAUUGUAGGAGAGCUGGACUAGGUGGCCUUUAAGGGGCCCAUCCCUCUCAAGCAAUUCUAUGAUCCUACAGACAUCGUCUGCAUGUGGCAUGGUUCAAAGGAGGACAUGGAUUAGGACUUCAGCAUUUCUCCUUCCUGGAAAAACACUGAAUUUGUCCAGUAGUUGCUGGGUCCUUGAGAAGAGUUGAAUUAAGUCUCAAAAUCACUGGAAGCCUCUUUGUUGACUGAAGAGGAAUGUUGGUGGGUCACCUGCAGGCAAGAAGACCUUGUUCCUCAGCAUUGCUUGGCAAGGACCAAGAGGCUCA